GAUUAGAUACCCUGGUAGUCCACGCCGUAAACGAUGAGUGCUAAGUGUUGGAGGGUUUCCGCCCUUCAGUGCUGCAGCAAACGCAUUAAGCACUCCGCCUGGGGAGUACGACCGCAAGGUUGAAACUCAAAGGAAUUGACGGGGGCCCGCACAAGCGGUGGAGCAUGUGGUUUAAUUCGAAGCAACGCGAAGAACCUUACCAGGUCUUGACAUCCUUUGACCACUCUAGAGAUAGAGCUUCCCCUUCGGGGGCAAAGUGACAGGUGGUGCAUGGUUGUCGUCAGCUCGUGUCGUGAGAUGUUGGGUUAAGUCCCGCAACGAGCGCAACCCUUAUUGUUAGUUGCCAUCAUUUAGUUGGGCACUCUAGCGAGACUGCCGGUGACAAACCGGAGGAAGGUGGGGAUGACGUCAAAUCAUCAUGCCCCUUAUGACCUGGGCUACACACGUGCUACAAUGGGAAGUACAACGAGUUGCGAAGUCGCGAGGCUAAGCUAAUCUCUUAAAGCUUCUCUCAGUUCGGAUUGUAGGCUGCAACUCGCCUACAUGAAGCCGGAAUCGCUAGUAAUCGCGGAUCAGCACGCCGCGGUGAAUACGUUCCCGGGCCUUGUACACACCGCCCGUCACACCACGAGAGUUUGUAACACCCGAAGUCGGUGAGGUAACCUUUUUGGAGCCAGCCGCCUAAGGUGGGAUAGAUGAUUGGGGUGAAGUCGUAACAAGG
rnacentral:rRNA from 1 species